rnacentral:misc_RNA from 1 species
GAAAUGCGAUAAGUAAUGUGAAUUGCAGAAUUCAGUGAAUCAUCGAAUCUUUGAACGCACAUUGCGCUCGCCAGUAUUCUGGCGAGCAUGCCUGUUCGAGCGUCAUUUCAACCAUCAAGCUCUGCUUGCGUUGGGGAUCCGCGGCUGCCCGCGGUCCCUCAAAAACAGUGGCGGGCUCGCUAGUCACACCGAGCGUAGUAACUCUACAUCGCUAUGGUCGUGCGGCGGGUUCUUGCCGUAAAACCCCCAAUUUCUAAGGUUGACCUCGGAUCAGGUAGGAAUACCCGCUGAACUUACGC